AGAUUGUUGAGAUGAUCUUGCUGAUGUAAGGGUUGGAACUGGAGAUUGAACAUUUGAACUGUUUUUGCAGGCUUUGGAAGUAAAAAUGCGUUUUAGGUAUGACAAAGAAGAAGAAAGAGCUCGGUGUGGCUUUAAGCGAAACGAAGAAGAAGAAGAGGAAGGAGAAAGAGGAGAGAUUUUACGUUUCUUGGUGGGCUGGUUAUCUUUAGAGGUGAAAAUAAAGCAACCAAGAUGAACAAGAAGAAGAAAGAUGGAGAAGAACUUGUUGAAGACAGAUACUAUGC
rnacentral:lncRNA from 1 species